CGGUUCUCAAGAUAUAGAGCGGACACGAUCUUCACCACAGGACACAGGGUUGUCAACUGAAACCAAAGUUUUUUUACCUUGACCUUUGACCUAGGAAGUUGUACAUACAUCAUGACAUGCCCUCUGGUGGUGGUUAAUAAACAUGUAAAGUAUAAAGUAUGAAAUCAUAAUGGUUCUCUAGAUAUGGAGCGGACACAAAGUGUUACGGACGGACGGACGGAUGGACAGACUGAUCACUAUAGGGCGACCCGCCUUUGGCGGGGCCCUAAUUAAAUAUUUUUUUU
rnacentral:lncRNA from 1 species